GACGGAGGGUGGGAGCGUUAAUCGGAAUUACUGGGCGUAAAGCGCAUGUAGGCGGCCGAACAAGUCAGGUGUGAAAUCCUCGGGCUUAACCUGGGAAGUGCACUUGAUACUGUCCGGCUAGAGUUUGGCAGAGGAAAGUAGAAUUCCCGGUGUAGCAGUGAAAUGCGUAGAUAUCGGGAGGAAUACCAGUGGCGAAGGCGGCUUUCUGGGCCAAUACUGACGCCGAGGUGCGAAAGCGUGGGGAGCAAACAGG
rnacentral:rRNA from 1 species